UGAGGAACAUGACCUUCGGCGGAGGAUAGCCGGCCCAACGGCCGGGUAAUACCGCGUACGACCACAUGGGGACAUCCCUGAGUGGUGAAAGCAGCAAUGCGCCGAUGGAGUGCCUCGCGGCCUAUCAGCUAGUUGGUGAGGUAACGGCUCACCAAGGCAACGACGGGUAGCUGGUCUGAGAGGAUGGCCAGCCACAUUGGGACUGAGACACGGCCCAGAUCCCUACGGGG
rnacentral:rRNA from 1 species